GACGUAGGAUGCAAGCGUUGUCCGGAUUUAUUGGGCGUAAAGAGUUCGUAGGUGGUUUGUUAAGUCUGAUGUUAAAGACUGGGGCUCAACCUCGGAAAUGCAUUGGAUACUGGCAGACUUGAGUGUGGUAGAGGCAAUCGGAAUUCCAGGUGUAGCGGUGAAAUGCGUAGAUAUCUGGAAGAACACCGGUGGCGCAAGCGGAUUGCUGGGCCAUAACUGACACUGAGGAACGAAAGCUAGGGGAGCGAACAGG
rnacentral:rRNA from 1 species